rnacentral:lncRNA from 1 species
AGUGCAUCUUGGGUAGGAGCGGCUGGCCGUAGAGGUAGAUCAUGUUAGUGAAAGAGAGGCACGUGAACCGCACCGCAAGCUGGAGCUCACCCAUCUUCUUUACUCCCGAAGGCUGGAGCACGAUGAGAGGGUACGACUGUGUGUAGAUUCUAUCGGUCUCUAGGGUUGAGAGCCGGAUUCUGACUUUCCCAAUUCUCGAAUCUUUCACAGCUCCGCCGCCCCCGUUGCCCAGGUGACAGUUGUCGAAGACCCCGAUGGUGAUCACCGUACACGGGUCGAACACCUCCCAUGUGUACUGCUCGUUCCAGCUAGGGCUAAAGGACCCG